CCUACGGGCGGCAGCAGUGGGGAAUAUUGCUCCAUGGGCGAACGCCUGACGCAGCGACGCCGCGUGAGGGAUGAAGGUCUUCGGAUCGUAAACCUCUGUCAGCAGGGAAGAACGGUCACUGUGCUAAUCAGCAGUGAAUUGACGGUACCUGCAAAGGAAGCACCGCCUAACUCCGUGCCAGCCGCCGCUGUAAUACGGAGGGUGCGAGCGUUAAUCGGAAUUACUGGGCGUAAAGCGCUCGAAGGCUGUAUGUCACGUCAAUGGUGAAAUCCCCGCGCUCAACGUGGGAACUGCCUUUGAAACUGGCAAAAUGGAGUGUGUGCGAGGAUAGUGGAAUUCCAGGUGUAGGAGUGAAAUCCGGAGAUAUCUGGAGGAACAACAGUGGCGAAGGCGACUAUCUGGCACAUAACUGACGCUGAGGAGCGAAAGCGUGGGUAGCAAACAGGAUUAGAGACCCGAGUAGUC
rnacentral:rRNA from 1 species